CCCCAGUAACGGCGAGUGAAGCGGCAACAGCUCAAAUUUGAAAUCUGGCCCCUCGGGCCCGAGUUGUAAUUUGUAGAGGAUGCUUUUGGCGCGGCGCUGCCUGAGUUCCCUGGAACGGGACGCCAUAGAGGGUGAGAGCCCCGUCUGGUUGGACGCCUAGCCUCUGUAAAGCUCCUUCGACGAGUCGAGUAGUUUGGGAAUGCUGCUCAAAAUGGGAGGUAUAUGUCUUCUAAAGCUAAAUACCGGCCAGAGACCGAUAGCGCACAAGUAGAGUGAUCGAAAGAUGAAAAGCACUUUGAAAAGAGGGUUAAAUAGUACGUGAAAUUGUUGAAAGGGAAGCGCUCGUGACCAGACUUGGGCUUGGCGGAUCAUCCGGGGUUCUCCCCGGUGCACUCUGCCUCGUCCAGGCCAGCAUCAGCUCGCCGCGGGGGAAAAAGGCUUCGGGAACGUGGCUCCCCCGGGAGUGUUAUAGACCGUUGCACAAUACCCUGCGGUGGGCUGAGGACCGCGCAUCUGCAAGGAUGCUGGCGUAAUGGUCAUCAGCGACCCGUCUUGAAACACGGACCAAGGAGUCGUCUUCGUAUGCGAGUGUUCGGGUGUCAAACCCCUACGCGUAAUGAAAGUGAACGCAGGUGAGAGCUUCGGCGCAUCAUCGACCGAUCCUGAUGUUCUCGGAUGGAUUUGAGUAAGAGCAUACGGGGCCGGACCCGAAAGAAGGUGAACUAUGCCUGUAUAGGGUGAAGCCAGAGGAAACUCUGGUGGAGGCUCGCAGCGGUUCUGACGUGCAAAUCGAUCGUCAAAUAUGGGCAUGGGGGCGAAAGACUAAUCGAACCUUCUAGUAGCUGGUUUCCGCCGAAGUUUCCCUCAGGAUAGCAGUGUUGAUCUCAGUUUUAUGAGGUAAAGCGAAUGAUUAGGGACCCGGGGGCGCUAUAUUGCCUUCAUCCAUUCUCAAACUUUAAAUAUGUAAGAA
rnacentral:rRNA from 1 species